rnacentral:rRNA from 1 species
UACAGAGGGGGCAAGCGUUGUUCGGAAUUACUGGGCGUAAAGGGCGCGUAGGCGGCCUGUUAAGUCGAACGUGAAAUCCCCGGGCUCAACCCGGGAACUGCGUCCGAUACUGGCAGGCUUGAAUCCGGGAGAGGGAUGCGGAAUUCCAGGUGUAGCGGUGAAAUGCGUAGAUAUCGAGAGGAACACCUGCGGCGAAGGCGGGUUGCUGGGCUGACACUGACGCUGAUGUGCGAAAGCUUGGGUAGCGAACGGG